GCAAGUCAGCCAGUGUGGUUGUGCUGGUCACUCUGGCACGAUGAGUCAUUGUUAUAGACAGUUCGUUAUGCCAUUACUGAAAACUAUUUUAUUGAACAGAAGAAAUAUGUCCACACCCUCAGCAGUGUGACGACAGUUCCUCAGAAAGAUUUAUUCACUGCAUUAGGCAAAAUGAUUAUUGUGGCUGUCACUGUCAUCUCUGGCUAGUUUGAGCAGUGUAGACGCUUCAGUUGGACGUCAUUGUUUAGCAAUGUGCAGUGAAAAAGUAGUUUAUCUGUGCGACUGAUGGACCAAAGUGACAGAAAAGCGGUGGAGAUUUAAGCCACAUUUAAAGAAUAUUAGCUGACAUCGCUAAAGUUCACUGGGGAAGCAACAUUUGUUUAUUGGCAUUGUGUAUUGGCUGGGACAAAGCCUGGCAGAACAUGAUGUUGACAGUCUUAUUGUUAUUAGCUCCACUCUUAAUGGCAAAGCCAGCAGUGUCUCAAGAAGUGAAAGGUAAGUGUGUCACUUUAAAGACUUAUCUGAGCAAUGCCAAAGAUUAAGGAAAGAAGUAACAC